rnacentral:rRNA from 1 species
GAACGCGAAGAACCUUACCUAAGCUUGACAUCCCUUAGACCGGUGUUUAAUCACACCUUCCCUUCGGGGCUGAGGUGACAGGUGGUGCAUGGUUGUCGUCAGCUCGUGUCGUGAGAUGUUGGGUUAAGUCCCGCAACGAGCGCAACCCUUGUCUUUAGUUGCCAGCAUUCAGUUGGGCACUCUAGAGAGACUGCCAGGGAUAACCUGGAGGAAGGUGGGGAUGACGUCAAAUCAUCAUGCCCCUUAUGCUUAGGGCUACACACGUGCUACAAUGGGUGGUACAGAGGGUUGCCAAACCGUGAGGUGGAGCUAAUCCUUAAAGCCAUUCUCAGUUCGGAUUGUAGGCUGAAACUCGCUACAUGAAGCUGGAGUUACUAGUAAUCGCAGAUCAGAAUGCUGCGGUGAAUGCGUUCCCGGGUCUUGUACACACC